UUAAUAUUUAUUUAUUAAUUUUUUUUUUUUAUUUAUUAAUUUAUUAAAAAUAAUUAUAUAAUUAAUUGUUUUAGUAUUUUUUAAUGAAAAAAUAAUUUUAAUUAUAGUUUAAUAGUAUUGUAAAAGAAAAUUUAAAUAAAUUGAAAAAUUUUUAUAUAAAAAGAAAAUUUAAUUUAUUGUACCUUGUGUAUCAGGGUUUAUUAAUUAAAAAUUAUUUAGAUAAUUUUCUCGAUUUUAAAAGAGUUAAUAUAUUAUAAAAGUUAUUGUAGUAAAAUUAUUUUAAAUAAUAUAUUAGAAAUGAAAUGUUAUUCGUUUUUAAAGGUAUCUAGUUCUUUAAGAAAUAAAUUUAAUUUAGAAAUUUAAUAUUAUUUAAUUGAUUAUAUUAAUUAAAUAAUUAUUUAAUUUUAAUAUUUUAUGGGAUAAGCUAUAAAGUAAAAGUUUAAAAAUAAUUAAAUAAUUAUAAUAAAUAUAAAUUUAGAAAUCGUUAUUAUUAAUAAAAAUGUUAUAAUUUAUUUUUAACAAUUAUAUUAUUUAUUUUAAGUUUUAAAAAUUUUAUUAAAGUAUUUAUUUUAAUUUUAUAAAUAAAAUAAUAAUGAUAAAAUUAGUAUAUUAAUUUGUAUAAAUAAUAAAAUUUGAAAAGUUUUUAUAAAGAACUCGGCAAAAAUAAUAUUUGCCUGUUUAACAAAAACAUGUCUUUUUGAUUUUUUUUUAAAGUCUAACCUGCCCACUGAAUUUUUUAAUGGCCGCAGUAUAUUAACUGUGCAAAGGUAGCAUAAUCAUUAGUCUUUUAAUUGAAGGCUGGUAUGAAUGGUUGGACAAGAUAUUAACUGUUUCAUAUAAAUUUAUAAUAGAAUUUUAUUUUUUAGUUAAAAAGCUAAAAUAUAUUUAAAAGACGAGAAGACCCUAUAAAUCUUUAUAUUUAUAUUAUAAUAAUUUUUUGGAAAUAUUUAAUUAUUAUAAUUUAUAAUAUUUUAUUGGGGUGAUAUUAAAAUUUAAUAAACUUUUAAUUAUUUUUUUUUCAUUAAUUUAUGAAUAAUUGAUCCGUUAAGAUAUAAUUUUAGGUGUAGUCGCUUAAAUUUUAAGUCUGUUCGACUUUUAAAUUCUUACAUGAUCUGAGUUCAAACCGGUGUAAGCCAGGUUGGUUUCUAUCUUUAAAAAAUUAAAAUAUUUCAGUACGAAAGGACCUUAUAUUUAGUAAAUUAUUAUUUUUAUAAUGAAUAUAAUUAAUUUAUUU
rnacentral:rRNA from 1 species